AGCCAGGACGAAGGUAGCCAGUCGCAGCAGCCGGUACUUGGUGGAGGACAAACAGAAGAGCAGGUUCCCGAUGCAAGCUUGAGAUCUCAGCCGUCCAUGUUAUCACCAGCUGAGAGACUGCAAAGACUCAGGAAGAGGCCACGAAAAAGCAAAGAUGACACGCUGCAAGAAGUGAUGCAGCAAUCUCUUAAAGAGAAUCAAAAAGCGCAGGCAUGGAGGGAGAGCGAAAGCAGGAUCCGCCAGGAAAAUGCAGCACGCCAGCAGCAAAGCACGGAGUACCAUCAGCAGAGUAUGGAUCAGCUGAAUAAGCAUCAUGGAGCACCAAGCAGACUCUAUCCAGGCGCUUGUAGCCAUGCAGGUGGAGCAUUACCGCACCCGCCCCACCCCUUGCAGCCCUUGUCCCAAAACUCUUUCCCUUGUGCCCCUAUGUCACCUCCAAUCCACUUUCCCCAACAUCCGGGUUCUUACCGCCACCAGCUGCCUCCAAUACCUGUAUCUUCACCACCCAGCCCUGAAAACUACGACGCUUACCCUCUGCACUCAACUCCCAUUACCAUGCAGUACAGCCAUCUUGAUGUGCAGCACUCAUUGCACAGCACUCCAGACAGGACAUAAGCAAGUCUGUGAUUGUACCGUUCCCCACCCCACCCCCUUGCCCUUUCUGAUUCCCAAGCAGUUAUGUUUCUUUUCAAUAAAUGGAUUUUUUGGCUUUGAAAA